AGCAAGCUGAAGCUGAGCAGAAGCAGGCAGAAGAAAGAAGUAAACAGACUGCCUUUGUGACCUUGGGAAAGUCAGUGAGCCACAGUAUGUCUGCUGAAUUUAAGUAGAAAUGGACCAUGUUUUGGAAGAACCCUUGACUUCUAGAGGAAAAGCUGGAGGAUGAGCUGGCAGCCAUGCAGAAGAAGCUGAAAGGGACAGAGGAUGAGCUGGACAAGUAUUCUGAAGCUUUGAAGGAUGCCCAGGAGAAGCUGGAACUGGCAGAGAAGAAGGCUGCUGAUCUUUCCCAAGUCAGAAAGUACCCUCAGAGAUAUGCAUAAGAACAAGAAACAGGAGAGGGAAGGUUGUGGCCAGGAGCAAGCAAGAAGAAAGGUUUCUUUCCUCAAAGCUAGAGUCAGCAAACUACCACCUGUGGGUUAAAUCUUGCAACAGCCUGGUUUUGUAAAUAAAGUUUUAUCGGAACA
rnacentral:sRNA from 1 species